rnacentral:misc_RNA from 1 species
GAUGAAUGCCUGAUUCUGGCAAGUGAUGGUCUAUGGGAUGUCAUGUCAAACGAAGAAGCAUGUGACCUGGCUCGGAGACGAAUACUUGUCUGGCAUAAAAAGAAUGGUGCUGCACUAACCUACUCAAAGGGGUGAGGGAAUUGAUCCUGCAGCUCAGGCAGCAGCCGAAUACCUCUCACACCGUGCUCUUCAAAAAGGAAGCAAAGACAACAU